rnacentral:rRNA from 1 species
CGUCUAUAUACGUAUAGCAUAUCAAUAAGCGGAGGAAAAGAAACUAACAAGGAUUCCCUUAGUAACGGCGAGUGAAGCGGGAAGAGCUCAAAUUUGAAAUCUUCAAGGUUCUACCUUGACGAAUUGUAGUUUAUAGAAGUGUUUUCUGUUAGUGGAGUGGCAAAAGUUCUUUGGAAUAGGACAUCAUAGAGGGUGAGAAUCCCGUAUUUGGUCAUUCCUCCUAGCGUUGUGAUACACUUUCAACGAGUCGGAUUGUUUGGGAAUGCAGUCCAAAAUGGGUGGUAAAUUUCAUCUAAAGCUAAAUACUUGGCGAGAGACCGAUAGCGAACAAGUACCGUGAGGGAAAGAUGAAAAGAACUUUGAAAAGAGAGUUAAACAGUACGUGAAAUUGUCAAAAGGGAAGCGUUUGACACCAGUGUUGUUUUCUCGAAAAUCAAUUAAACGAAUGUUUGUUUUGAGGAGUUAUGACUUCAUCAGCUUGCACUUUCUUACGAAGUCUUUCUUAAUGCACUUUUCGGUUAACAAGUCAACAUCAAUUUCUUUUGUUGUAAAAGAGUAUUAGGAAGGUGGCUUUCUUUUCGGAGAAAGUGUUUAUAGCCCUUAUGCCUCUACAAUCGGAGAGAUUGAGGUCUGCAGCGUAGAUCCUUCGGGGUUAGAUACACUUUGUGCUAAGUUGUAGCUUUUCAUAGACAACUUGUUGACUAUGUUUAGUCUUGUAGCUUACUCGCUUACGCUAUUUUACCUACGCUUAGGAUGUUGACUGAUAUGUAGUCGUA